UACGGGGGGGGUAAGCGUUGUUCGGAAUUACUGGGCGUAAAGGGCUCGUAGGCGGCCAACUAAGUCAUACGUGAAAUCCCUCAGCUUAACUGGGGAACUGCGUCUGAUACUGGAUGGCUUGAAUUCGGGAGAGGGAUGCAGAAUUCCAGGUGUAGCGGUGAAAUGCGUAGAUAUCCGGAGGAACACCGGUGGCGAAGGCGGCUACCUGGACCGACCACUGGACGCUGAGGCGCGAAAGCUAGGGGAGGCAAACGGGA
rnacentral:rRNA from 1 species